UACGUAGGGUGCAAGCGUUAUCCGGAAUUAUUGGGCGUAAAGAGCUCGUAGGCGGUUUGUCGCGUCUGCUGUGAAACUCGAGGCUCAACCUCGAGACGCCGGUGGAAACCAUCAGGCUAGAGUCCGGAAGAGGAGAGUGGAAUUCCUGGUGUAGCGGUGAAAUGCGCAGAUAUCAGGAAGAACACCCGUGGCUAAGGCGGCUCUCUAGUACGGUACUGACGCUGAGACGCGAAAGCGUGGGGAGCGAACAGG
rnacentral:rRNA from 1 species